rnacentral:rRNA from 1 species
GACGAACGCUGGCGGCGUGCUUAACACAUGCAAGUCGAACGGAAAGGCCCUGCUUUUGUGGCGUGCUCGAGUGGCGAACGGGUGAGUAUCACGUGAGUAACCUGCCCUUGACUUUGGGAUAACUUCAGGAAACUGGGGCUAAUACCGGAUAGGAGCUCCUGCUGCAUGGUGGGGGUUGGAAAGUUUCGGCGGCUGGGGAUGGACUCGCGGCUUAUCAGCUUGUUGGUGGGGUAGUGGCUUACCAAGGCUUUGACGGGUAGCCGGCCUGAGAGGGUGACCGGCCACAUUGGGGCUGAGAUACGGCGCAGACUCCUACGGGAGGCAGCAGUGGGGAAUAUUGCACAAUGGGCGGAAGCCUGAUGCAGCAACGCCGCGUGCGGGAUGAAGGCCUUCGGGUUGUAAACCGCUUUCGCCUGUGACGAAGAGUGAGUGACGGUAAUGGGUAAAGAAGCACCGGCUAACUACGUG